GCCUCCUUUUAUGUGCUCUUUUGGCCACAUCCGCAUUGCGCGUGGUAAUAAUAACUCUACUUCUAUUAUUGCUAUCUGGAAGUGCUCUUUCCAGACUUUGCCAUGCUUCUCUCUGCCAUACAUCGUCGACCACCACAAGAUCUAGAGUUUCCCUGUCACGUCCUUGGAUGGAUUUGAUGAUAUCCUUUAGGAGAUCGAUGGUGUUAUACUGUUGAGAAACACAUACCCAAGCACGUGCAUUGAAGAUACCGGUUAGGCUAGGGGAGUGGUAGAGAUGUUUUGCAAGAGUAGUCUUGCCUAACCCACCCAUGCCAUAAAUGGAGAUGACGGUUCGGCGUGGCUCUUCUUUGACAAGUUCAGCAAGCAAUCUUUCUACGACAUCCUCAAAGCCAACAAAAAUCUGAUCCUGCUUAUCCAUGUAGGAGAUGCAAGCGCAAGCCUUCAGACGACUAGCAAGUCCAUCGCCAUCACCUUCAGCAGCCUUCAGACGAUUAGCAAGUCCAUCGCCAUCACCUUCACCUGCCUCUAAGCUGUAAGUCUCUAGUAUAGCGACAGAGUCAUUAGCAAUCUCGUUAAUUUCAAACACCCAUUGUCGAAUUGUAUGAUCUUCAACUUGCUUUUGCUCUGCAUCUUUGAGGAAAGACUGCAUGAAGAGCAGCUCCUUUCUCAGCCACAUCACAUCCUGUCUCAGACUUCUGCGCAGGGAAACUUCCUGUAUGAGGAAAUCCCCCAGUUUUUUAACUGCAUAUGACACAAAGCCAUCAACCAUUUUCAAGAAUCUUGAUAUUUAGUAUGCUCUGCUGAAAAAAAGAUUGGAAGGAAGCUGGAGAAAGAGAAACAGUGACAGAAGAAAUAGAGAUAAAAUUAAGAUCAAGUUGAAGAAACUGAAGCUGUUGAUUGUGAGUUUGAUAAGAAAUGAAUAUUGUUUUUGUGUUAAUGAAUUGAGUGUUUAAGAUGGUCCAUUUAUAAUGUGAUUAAAGCAUAAAAAAUCCGACAGAUAAACAUGGGGCUUGUGGAAAAAUAUAUGUGGGGAAAAGUUAAAAGUAACAAUUAUAUGUGUUAUACAGUGGUCCACCACCUAAUAAUUUUGUUUGGACAAUAAUGGUCCACCACCUAAUAAUUCUGUUUGGACAAUGAUGGGAAAAAUGAUAAAGAAAAAUUAGAGCAGUGAAAGUGAAAUGUGUACCAUUUGAUACUUUCAGAAAAAAGAAAUAUACGAUAAAGAUGGUAUUGAUGAUAAGAGUUGAUGUAAUGGCAAAGCUAUCAGGAAUCAUCGAUCAGUUGGCAUUGCUCUAGUCCGUUGAUAAUAUUUAAUAGGAGAGGCAAACGCAUGUGAUGACCGGAAAAUUCGUAUUUAAUAAAUAAAAUAUAAAGACAACAAAAAAUUAAAGCAGUUGAGAUCAAUUAAGCAAUCUCAAGCAUUAUCAAUUGAAUAGCCACCUCAUUAAUUUUGGAACUAACAGUCAUCAUCAUAAUCCACCCCAUCUUCUUCGCCUUCUGUAUCGGAUUAACUGAGGAGCCAGUUAAAAACUUUGGCAAAGGAACCGUAAGAGGCGGAAGAUUAUGAAGCAUAUAUACUAGAGUAUCACCGAGGACUUAAGAGUUCUUGAUCAGAGAUUCUUCACUGCGGCAUUUGUAAUUAUUAGAAUGAGCACCUAUGCAAUGUUGGGGAGUACCGAGCAAUCAAGCCUCAGAAGGUUGGUAACAUUGUCAAGGAUGAGACGGUCUUCUUAACAGCUGUUCUGUUACUAGGGUAUUCUUUUCCGUUAGGGUAGCAUACAUUUUCAAGUGCUGUUAUGUGCAUAUGAAAUGGAUUCUGCAUCAUUUAGCCCCAGAACGCUCAUCUCCUUCAAGGAGCUGGAGUAGAGAUAUCAACAUGGACAGCGAGUAAGGCUAGCAACGAACCCCAACUCUUGCGAGUUUGUCUUGAGUGCUGGUGUGGAGAUUGAAUGCAUCAAGUAUUUUCUAUUAUGCAGGUUAAAGCGGGCAUAACAUAAUGUAAGGCUUUGGGUGCUUUGUCUCUUUUAUAAGUAAACAUUUCCUUGAAGGAAAUUUCCACUUUGUUACAGCUAAACUUCAGAAUUAUAUUGCUCAUUCACCUUUUAUGACCAAAUACUUAGACAAUCCAAUGACUUGGUUGUUCACUUUAAUCUUUUACACAAUGGAGGGGUACACAGAUAUUCCUUUGUUAUUUAGACAUGUUGUAUCAUUUUAUUAUAUAUGAAAUUAUAUGGUUCGUACUGUUU